rnacentral:rRNA from 1 species
GAACCGGCGAGUUACGAUUUGAUGCAAGGUUAAGCAGUAAAUGUGGAGCCGUAGCGAAAGCGAGUCUGAAUAGGGCGUUUAGUAUUUGGUCGUAGACCCGAAACCAGGUGAUCUACCCUUGGUCAGGUUGAAGUUCAGGUAACACUGAAUGGAGGACCGAACCGACUUACGUUGAAAAGUGAGCGGAUGAACUGAGGGUAGCGGAGAAAUUCCAAUCGAACCUGGAGAUAGCUGGUUCUCUCCGAAAUAGCUUUAGGGCUAGCCUCAAGUGAUGAUUAUUGGAGGUAGAGCACUGUUUGGACGAGGGGCCCCUCUCGGGUUACCGAAUUCAGACAAACUCCGAAUGCCAAUUAAUUUAACUUGGGAGUCAGAACAUGGGUGAUAAGGUCCGUGUUCGAAAGGGAAACAGCCCAGACCACCAGCUAAGGUCCCAAAAUAUAUGUUAAGUGGAAAAGGAUGUGGCGUUGCCCAGACAACUAGGAUGUUGGCUUAGAAGCAGCCAUCAUUUAAAGAGUGCGUAAUAGCUCACUAGUCGAGUGACACUGCGCCGAAAAUGUACCGGGGCUAAACAUAUUACCGAAGCUGUGGAUUGUCCUUUGGACAAUGGUAGGAGAGCGUUCUAAGGGCGUUGAAGCAUGAUCGUAAGGACAUGUGGAGCGCUUAGAAGUGAGAAUGCCGGUGUGAGUAGCGAAAGACGGGUGAGAAUCCCGUCCACCGAUUGACUAAGGUUUCCAGAGGAAGGCUCGUCCGCUCUGGGUUAGUCGGGUCCUAAGCUGAGGCCGACAGGCGUAGGCGAUGGAUAACAGGUUGAUAUUCCUGUACCACCUAUAAUCGUUUUA